rnacentral:misc_RNA from 1 species
GGUUCCAUCACCAACCUCAGAGUCUUGAGACUUGGCGAUGUCAACAAGUAUUUUUGCUGCAGGAUGAAUUAUAUCUAGAAGCUUCAUUAUAGUGGCACCAUCAUUUGAAAUAGUGGUGUUUCCUUUAUCGUCGUGGAUCAACUUGUCCAUACCCCUAGGACCAAGGGUGGUACGCACCACAUCAGCCACAGCCAUACAUGCAUUUAUGUUGCUCACCAACUGUGCCUUCCCCUGAGACGUGUCUGUCCCUUCCUUAAGCAAUAUGAUCUGAGGUUGCAUCAUGGCAGACAUUGUUGGAGGCGAUUUGAUCCGACUUCGAUCUUGAGGAGAAAAGUGAGCUUCUAUUCUAGGGUUUUUC